ACGAAUGUGCUUGAGUUGUUUU
rnacentral:siRNA from 1 species